AACGAACGCUGGCGGUAUGCUUAACACAUGCAAGUCGAACGAAUGCCUUUGGAGCUUGCUUCAAAGUCGUUAGUGGCAAACGGGUGAGUAACACGUGGGAAUCUACCUAUCAGUACGGAAUAACAUUUGGAAACAGAUGCUAAUACCGUAUAUUCUCUUCGGAGGAAAGAUUUAUCGCUGAUAGAUGAGCCCGCGUAAGAUUAGGUAGUUGGUGGGGUAAUGGCCUACCAAGCCGACGAUCUUUAGCUGAUCUGAGAGGAUGAUCAGCCACACUGGGACUGAGACACGGCCCAGACUCCUACGGGAGGCAGCAGUGGGGAAUAUUGGACAAUGGGCGAAAGCCUGAUCCAGCAAUACCGCGUGAAUGAUGAAGGCCUUAGGGUUGUAAAGUUCUUUUAGUAGGGAAGAUAAUGACGGUACCUACAGAAAAGACCCCGGCUAACUCCGUG
rnacentral:rRNA from 1 species